AUGCAACUCUUUGGUCCUUCCCAGGAGGAGGUGGAAAGACAGGACGAGGCCACCUUGUUGUGUCUCAUAAGCGGCUUCAACCCACCUGGUCUCACCGUAGAAUGGAAGGCUGAUGAUAAGCCGAUCACAGCUGGAGUGGAGACAACCAAAGCCACCAAACAGGGCAGCAGCUAUGUUGCCAGCAGCUACCUGAACAUGCCCGCAGCUGACUAUCAAAAGCAUGCAACUUACACCUGUGAAGUGACACACGAAGGAAAGACCUUCAGCAAGUCGAAACGCAUAGAAAAAUACGGUCAGCCCACAGUGCCUCCUCAAGUGCGACUCUUUGGUCCUUCCCAGGAGGAGGUGGAAAGCCAGCAGGCCACCUUGUCGUGUCUCGUAAGCGGCUUCUACCCGUCUGUUAUCACCGUAGGAUGGAAGGCUGAUGAUAAGCCGAUCACAGCUGGAGUGGAGACAACCAAAGCCACCAAACAGGGCAGCAGCUAUGUUGCCAGCAGCUACCUGAACAUGCCCGCAGCUGACUAUGGAAAGCAUGCAACUUACACCUGUGAAGUGACACACGAAGGAAAGACCUUCAGCAAGUCGAAACGCAUAGAAAAAUACGGUCAGCCCACAGUGCCUCCUCAAGUGCGACUCUUUGGUCCUUCCCAGGAGGAGGUGGAAAGCCAGCAGGCCACCUUGUCGUGUCUCGUAAGCGGCUUCUACCCGUCUGUUAUCACCGUAGGAUGGAAGGCUGAUGAUAAGCCGAUCACAGCUGGAGUGGAGACAACCAAAGCCACCAAACAGGGCAGCAGCUAUGUUGCCAGCAGCUACCUGAACAUGCCCGCAGCUGACUAUGGAAAGCAUGCAACUUACACCUGUGAAGUGACACACGAAGGAAAGACCUUCAGCAAGUCGAAACGCAUAGAAAAAUACGGUCAGCCCACAGUGCCUCCUCAAGUGCGACUCUUUGGUCCUUCCCAGGAGGAGGUGGAAAGCCAGCAGGCCACCUUGUCGUGUCUCGUAAGCGGCUUCUACCCGUCUGUUAUCACCGUAGGAUGGAAGGCUGAUGAUAAGCCGAUCACAGCUGGAGUGGAGACAACCAAAGCCACCAAACAGGGCAGCAGCUAUGUUGCCAGCAGCUACCUGAACAUGCCCGCAGCUGACUAUGGAAAGCAUGCAACUUACACCUGUGAAGUGACACACGAAGGAAAGACCUUCAGCAAGUCGAAACGCAUAGAAAAAUACGGUCAGCCCACAGUGCCUCCUCAAGUGCGACUCUUUGGUCCUUCCCAGGAGGAGGUGGAAAGCCAGCAGGCCACCUUGUCGUGUCUCGUAAGCGGCUUCUACCCGUCUGUUAUCACCGUAGGAUGGAAGGCUGAUGAUAAGCCGAUCACAGCUGGAGUGGAGACAACCAAAGCCACCAAACAGGGCAGCAGCUAUGUUGCCAGCAGCUACCUGAACAUGCCCGCAGCUGACUAUGGAAAGCAUGCAACUUACACCUGUGAAGUGACACACGAAGGAAAGACCUUCAGCAAGUCGAAACGCAUAGAAAAAUACGGUCAGCCCACAGUGCCUCCUCAAGUGCGACUCUUUGGUCCUUCCCAGGAGGAGGUGGAAAGCCAGCAGGCCACCUUGUCGUGUCUCGUAAGCGGCUUCUACCCGUCUGUUAUCACCGUAGGAUGGAAGGCUGAUGAUAAGCCGAUCACAGCUGGAGUGGAGACAACCAAAGCCACCAAACAGGGCAGCAGCUAUGUUGCCAGCAGCUACCUGAACAUGCCCGCAGCUGACUAUGGAAAGCAUGCAACUUACACCUGUGAAGUGACACACGAAGGAAAGACCUUCAGCAAGUCGGUGUCACCAUCGGGAAGUUGUUAA